GACGAACGCUGGCGGCAUGCUUAACACAUGCAAGUCGAACGGAAAGGCCCUGCUUUUGUGGGGUGCUCGAGUGGCGAACGGGUGAGUAACACGUGAGUAACCUGCCCUUGACUUUGGGAUAACUUCAGGAAACUGGGGCUAAUACCGGAUAGGAGCUCCUGCUGCAUGGUGGGGGUUGGAAAGUUUCGGCGGUUGGGGAUGGACUCGCGGCUUAUCAGCUUGUUGGUGGGGUAGUGGCUUACCAAGGCUUUGACGGGUAGCCGGCCUGAGAGGGUGACCGGCCACAUUGGGACUGAGAUACGGCCCAGACUCCUACGGGAGGCAGCAGUGGGGAAUAUUGCACAAUGGGCGGAAGCCUGAUGCAGCAACGCCGCGUGCGGGAUGACGGCCUUCGGGUUGUAAACCGCUUUCGCCUGUGACGAAGCGUGAGUGACGGUAAUGGGGAAAGAAGCACCGGCGAACUACGU
rnacentral:rRNA from 1 species